rnacentral:tRNA from 3 species
GCCGGUGUGGCGAAAUGGCAGACGCACAGGACUUAAAAUCCUGGGACCGUAAAAAGUCGUGUCGGUUCGAGUCCGACCACCGGCACCA